ensembl:snRNA U2 U2 spliceosomal RNA
UCCGCUUCUCGCCUUUUGGCUAAGAUCAAGUGUAGUAUCUGUUCUUAUCAGUUUAAUACCUGAUACGUCCUCCAUUCGAGGACUUUAUAUUAAACAGAUUUUUAGAGCGAGGAGCUGGAAGAGGGGCUUGCUUCCGUCCGCUCCACGCAUCGACCUGGUAUUGCAGUACCUCCAGGAACGGUGCACCUUUU